GCGCUAGUUGAGCUUAGAGAUUUGAUUUAAAAUGUUUACGGCUCGUUUUGUUUAUCUGGAGGGCUCAUCUAAUUCCGUAUCUAAAUUCGGUAUCUAUAUCUUCCAUCUGAUACAAAUUGUGCAGCGCGCACGCAGUUCACUGUGUAAGCAUUAUACAGUCGGCUACUGGUUAAACAGACACGAGUCUGUCGACGUACUGCGCUGCAGGGCCCAUAAAGAUCCAUACUAAAAAUAUUACAGUGCCUGCGAUAAAGCGAACCUUGAACGUCGCCACUGCACUUGACAAGUAUGCAGACGAGAGAUUGUAAAUUUUUUACAACGUUUACUCUGCUCGAGCAAGUCGCUGCAUGGCACAGUUGCAAAUGGAUACAAAGUGCACGACGCCACAGCCAGGUGAACCAGGAUUUGCGCAGUGUUCAAUUUAACAGAGAAAUGUCGCCGAUUCCAAUUGGACAAUCCGUCAAGCAGUGUAGGAAUUAGUUGCUAAGCCCUAAGGCAGUUGCAGUGGCAAGCAGUUCAGGAUACCAAUUCAGAUUCAUCUGCAAGCAGUUCACAUAAAUUCGAUCUUCUAUGGCAAAUGCUUCUGCAUCUGCAGUGCUCCAUAAGUUGACUUAAAUAAUAACAACUCUCCAAUUGGAUGCAAUGAUGCGAUGCUAAUACAACUGUUGAAUAAUAAUAUACUUUAUACAUUAUGAAUUCCAAUUGAAUGCAUUAAGAAGCAACUGAAUAGUUUGUCACAUUGUUGAAUCAAAGACUUCAGGACUCAGACUCAAUUGGAACCGCUCAAAUUCAUGUUAAUCAUAAAUGCAUUGCACUGCAUAUUUAUGAGCGUGCAGCCUUUUAUAAAUAUAUAUUCAUUUGAUUGCAUUGGCAAGUAAUUCAGGAAACAUCACGUAUCUAUACCAGUUUGAAGCAAUUGCAAGCAGUUAAAAAAACUGCACAUCGAAGCAAAUUUUCUAUGCAGCCUCAACGAUAUUAUGUUUUUCAUUCAAAACGAUGAACAGUUGCAUCUGGUGUGGAUCGACAACAGCGACGAUUACAGAGAAAUUUUAAGUAACUGCAAGAGAGUUCUGUUAAGUCUUAACAGCUUCGUGUUAUUACAAUUACUUGCGAUCAAGGACAAGCAAUGCAAAAAGCUGAGCCUUUGGCAGGCGGUAUUGCUUAAAAUCGUAACAGUUCAGGGUUACAUUUCCGUUAACCGCUAUGCAAACACAAACACGUAAUGUCGGCUGCUUCGGCCAGUGUAUUUGCUUGACAUUGCGUGCAGUGAAAUAAUAAGUAAAUAUCUCAAACUGAGCCCAUGUGCAAUGAGGUCUAUUAAUAACUUUAUUUGGUUUGCUUGUUGGCAUCGCCGAAUUGCUCUUUGUUCUGCAUGUGUGUAUUAUUGCAGUCUUAACAGUAAAUUAACAUUGACAGUAUAUUGCAUACUAUAUGUGUUACGCCCUAUAUUAACUAUGCGAAACUGAUUUCAUAAACAAUUUCAGGAUCAGGAUAUCAGAUCCAAUGUUCGUCUAUCAAAAAAAAAAAAUGAAUGAGCGUAGUUCAAAGCGACUGAUUGAAAAGAAUAUACAUGUUUGUGUAUCCACUUCAUCAGUGGGGCAUUAAGUGCUCAUCAAGCCGUCGGGUUAGCUGCUGGCCAAAUUCAUAAACAUAAACAAAUUCGCAGUUGGGCCACAGCGCAUUUUGAUGAUGUGCCGGGAGAAUAAUAACAUAACAUGGGGGCUGAACCUGAGUCGUUUGGAAUUCCUCUGGAUCUCUGGUCUCUGUAAUUAUGCAGUUAAUUGCACAAUUAACACAGCGUGGCGGAGGCGGGACGCCGCGCCAACUGUGUACAAUGUCAUGGCCAUAGGGCGUUCCAGGGUCCCUCUUAUAUAGCGCACAAAUUGAGUGUCAAUUGAGCCCAUCGGACGAAGCGAAAAAAGGCGGCUAAAAUGCUCUGGUCUAUGCUCAUUUAUGUAACAUGUAUGUUAAUAAUAGAACAAUUGCGAAUUCAAAUUAUGAUUUAUAUAUUUCACUAGUUAUAUUUCAGCUCAGCAUCAACAACCAGAAUCUGUCCGCAUGUCUGUCCCAGAAGCCAAUUCGUUCUGGCCCUAUCAUUCGGACUGCUUGUCUAUUCACCUGUUAUUGCAAACGAUUCGAUCUAGCCCUGUCUGCAGCAGACAAGUCGAUUAAGCGCAGCGUUCAUUUUUCUGUCCGUGCGUCCAUUCGUUUGUACGUCCGUAUAAACAUUCUGUUGUCUAUGCGUUCAAAAACUAUAUCAAGUCGAGGAACGAGUUUGCUUAUCGAUUAAGAUGUUUAGCAUCGAUAAGUACUUUCAAUUUUCAUUAAAUCGAUAAUAAUCGAUAUGUGGAGUUAAACAAAGAUUAGUUUUCUGCUUCAGCUACCACAAAUUACUUAUUUAAAGUCCUCUUUUGCUCAACUUUCUGUGCUUCUGUGGGGUAUCUUCUAGUCAUACGAGCGAAAUUUCGCUUUUUGGUUCCAUAUGACUGAGCCAGUGCGAACCAAAGCGAAGCGGUUCGCAGCGCAAUGGAACGAGCGGAUAUAAAAUAAGUAUGACGACAACGGUGCGUAUACGUGUUGCCAAUAAACGCAACAGGGUGCUAGCUAGCAUAGAUGGUCAAGAUCGAGAGAGAGAGAGAGAGAGAGAGAGAGAGAGAGCGCCCACAUUUCAUAUUGGGCGUAACGUUUGGCCAAGCGAAAAGCAUAAAUAAAUAAGGAAAGUGACAAACAGCAUUGAACUUGACAGAAUUCGAGCAAGCGGAAUUUUCGCAAAGCGGAAUUUUCGCAUAUUGAGAAAUGUGAAAAGAGCAAAAAAGUGGGGGGAAAACAAAUACCGUUGCCGCUGUCAUGUGGAGGACAUUUCAAUUGCACAAUAUCUCUGGCGCUAAUGAUGAAUGCUGCUCUCCAUCAAAUGCAUUUGCCACGCCCUGCUCUCUAGCAGCCCCUUCUCCAACUAGCGUCCCGCUCCCACGCCCGUUGUAAGCAAAUAUUUUGAAACGAAAUAACUGAAUUUAUAGAACAAUUAAUUUAUCGUUUUCAAAUGCGCACUAAACCGAUUUAAUUGCAUGCGAGGCGGCGCCGGCGGGCCGGCGGACCAAGGGGCGUGGCUGUAGCUAUGGCAUUAUUUUUUAUGCAUUUUUAUGUAAAGCAACUCGCUCAAGCUCGCAAAUUACUUCGCAUAUUAUUCGAUGCGAUGCAUCAUCCGAUUGGAGAGUUAUCAGUGCGACUACAACAUACCCUGUAAGUGCGUAUAUAUUUGUAUAUAGAUAUAUACUACUCAUUGCUACUAAUAAAAUAUUAUAUUACAAUCUGUAUUAAGAUGAUAGCUUUGAUGUUUUGCUUAUACUGUACUAAUAUUAUAUAAUAAUAUAUCAACCCCUGAACAUAGACUAAAAUACUAAAAAUACUGGAAAAGUUAAAAAUUGUAUUUUUAGGCAUAAUCAUGGUUUUUACGCAACAUCUCCAAUGUCAAUACAAUCGAGUUGAGGGACAUACGAAGCUGUGAUCUUUGCUCAUGACAAUAGAGAUAAGUUAUUUGUAUGAAAUAUUUAAUGAGUGUCAAUCAGUUCAGCAAAAAGCGCGGAAACUCAAGUACCGUAGCACCGCCUAGCUGUAGCUUGUUCGUAUUAUCCUUGCAACCUCUCUGAGUGUCCCCCACCAGCGGUAAGAUACUCAGAGAAAGAGAGCGGCAGAGAGCACAGACUAUAUCUAUAUUUCUCUUGUAUGAUUAUAAAUUAAUUAGCUAGCGAAGAGUCCUCGAAGCAAACAAAGAUGUAUUUUCCUUUUUGGGACCAUAUACGAGUUUUCUCUUUCAUAAGUCUAUUCCGCUUUCACUUCAGAGUGCUUAAGUUCAAAAUGCAGUCUUUUACAUCACUUACAGGGUAUUCACUAAAAACACAAUCUUACUUAAUAACCCUAUUAAUAAUAAGGGGGUUAUUCCCUGCGCAAGACACGUGCAAUAUUUCUAGUAUCUUGAGAAGCACACAACGUAAACAAACAAAAAAGUACUUUAAGUAGAUUAAAUUACGUUAUUUGCGGAAAUGAUUAUAAUAUGAUUGAUCGAUUGGCGUAGUUAGAUAAAAUGCCUACAAAUACAUUCGUUCUUAGAAAAUGCGAUUUAAGAGUAAAUUGAUAAUUGUAAAUAUAGAAACCAGAAUGAAAUAUUUUCUUACGAUUCGAAACUCACCUGCAGAA